rnacentral:rRNA from 1 species
AGCGAACGCUGGCGGCAGGCCUAACACAUGCAAGUCGAACGAACCUUUCGGGGUUAGUGGCGGACGGGUGAGUAACACGUGGGAACGUGCCUUUAGGUUCGGAAUAACUCAGGGAAACUUGUGCUAAUACCGAAUGUGCCCUUCGGGGGAAAGAUUUAUCGCAUUUAGAGCGGCCCGCGUCUGAUUAGCUAGUUGGUUGAGGUAAUGGCUCACCAAGGCGACGAUCAGUAGCUGGUCUGAGAGGAUGAUCAGCCACAUUGGGACUGAGACACGGCCCAAACUCCUACGGGAAGCAGCAGUGGGGAAUCUUGCGCAAUGGGCGAAAGCCUGACGCAGCCAUGCCGGGUGAAUGAUGAAGGUCUUAGGAUUGUAAAAUUCUUUCACCGGGGACGAUAAUGACGGUACCCGGAGAAGAAGCCCCGGCUAACUUCGUG